AGUUGGAAGGGAUCUUUAGUAAUAUAUAAGAUAGAUGAGCCACUCCACUUAUCAUCAAUUGGUUUUAGGUUGAAAGCUCAUCUAGCUUAACAUGGUAUCAGAGCCCGAUCCACGCAGUCCAACCCGAUCCACAUCGACCCGGCCCAAAGUUGGCUCUCGAUCCUUGCCCAAAUAUUCCGAGAUUGACGCUUAAAGAGCCAUCAUCUCGAGGGGACGUAUUAGGGACAAAGGUCCCACAUCGGUAGUUGGAAGGGAUCUUUAGUAAUAUAUAAGAUAGAUGAGCCACUCCACUUAUCACCAAUUGGUUUUAGGUUGGAAACCCAUCUAGCUUAACAUCACACACCCAUUUAAACCCAUCCACAACCUACCAUCAUCUCGUCUUUCGGAAAGCGCUACCCCAUCUACACAAAAUCAUCCACCAGGAACCAUCCACCAUCUCCUAACACAACCACAAAUCUUUUACCACUCUCCUCCAU
rnacentral:lncRNA from 1 species